AAAAACAAUUAAAGCUUUUCCCUCUUUACCAGAUUCUAUUCUGAUUCUCAUAUUAAUCUCUCUUAAUUGGAUGCGUCUGUCUGUGUUGAUUCUACGGCUUGAUAAGGGUUCAGAAUUCUAUUUACACGAUGGGAUUAACUCAAUCGCCAAAUAGGGGAUUGACGAUAUUCAACCUUGGGUGCUUCGCAUUGGGCAUCACUUUCAUGACAGUUGGUAUUCAUUAUUCCUACAGAAAUGUUGCCCCUCAACAGGCUCGAGCCAAAGCUCGGAGUGAACUCCUCAGAGCACAUCUUACGAAGAGAUUCGGCGAGGAUGUAAUCCCUGAAGUUUUUCGUAAUCCGCCUCACUCCGUACCGGAUUCCUCUGGUUCCGUCUCUUCUGAUCCACAACCCAGUAGUGAUUGUUGAAGCCGGUGUGGAUACUGAUUCCAUUCAUUACAAGGGGGAAUGAAUAGGUGUCCAUUUGGCUGGUAAGACACUCUAGAAUGUAUGAAUGUAUAAAAUGUAGUAGAAAUGUUAUGUUUAUCUAGAGAUAAAUUUUGUUUCUUCUAUGGUUUACAGAAUCAUUUCAAAUUUCUUGUACAUUUUUCUUGGAUGAAUGGGUACAAUAGAAGAGAUUCUAAAUUCCGCUGAUAUUUUAACUGGUAGGCUUUAAUUCAACUUUUUGAAUCAAUUUGAAAUAAAAGACAUUCCCACCUAGUUGUGAUUACAAUGACUUCCCUAGUGUUGGGGGUUGGGGCUAUGAAGAUGCUUGAGUCUCUGCAAUGUCUGAGUGAAUCAAGUGAUAUGAGUACAAGGAAUGCUCGAGUCUCUGCAUGCUCUUCUUUGCUGCGCUAAUGCAAAUGCAUUUAGUUGUCCAGUUUGAUUGACAUGAAUAUUUUUUGUUCAUAGUUUAGGGAGUUUUUAUCCCUUUUGGAAUGAGAAGCCAGUAAUAAAGUCCGAGACAUGGAGAGGGUGAUUGAGACUGAGAAAGUUGUUAUGAAAGCAAAGAGGAUGGUCUGUUUUCAGUUUCUAAGGAUUUCUUAUACACAUGGACAAUUUUCUAGACUUGAUGCUCAUUCGGCCAUCAUUCAAGACUUGGUGCUCAUUCGAACGUCAUUCAAGACUUGAUGCUGCUGCUGAACAUGGUCAGGGUGAAGAAAUUUUUACUGAUUUACUUUAGUAAAUUUAGUGUGAAAAAAAUACAAGUCCUGGAAUUGAGAAAAGUUGCAACAUAUUAAGAUCCAGAAAUUUUGCCUAUUAUAAGAUUUCAUUACUGCAGACAACCUAUUAAAUUUACUGGUGCUAGAGUUCAGGCAACUUUCAUUCUGGUAGAGGUUCAGGCAUUUUACCAUCUCCUUCCUAUCCAGUUUCAUCAAGACCUCCUCGGAAUCUGUCAUCUAAUAACAGACCUACAUGUCAGAUUUGUUACAAAUAUGGUCAUUCUGCUGAUGAAUGUUGGAAUAUGAUGAAUUUCUCCUAUCAAGGACGUGCACCACCAAGAAAUAUUCAUGCUAUGAUUGCAGCUGCCAACAUUCUUGGAGAGAAUCUUCUGUACAUGGAUUCUGGUGCUAAUAAUCACCUAACAGCUGAUGCUUCUACUUCUUACAAUAAUAAUGAAAUCAUAGCUACUGCCAAUGAAGAAGCAUCUGCAACAAGCUUUGAAUCGAGCUCAAACUCCACUCUUCCCAGCUUCAUCUCUUUUGCCCAUUGAACAGCUUCCCAUAGUGCUCUGCAUUCGGCCUGUUCUGGAUUCAUCACUCUAUUCAAGAAGAUACAUUUGGAACCUUGAUGUUCACCUGCAAAAUUACGAAUGUUUAGUCCAAGACCACCGGUUUUAUUUGUAUCAAGAUAUGAGCCAUCACAAUUAAUUUUCAGAGAGUUUAUAUCAGGAGGUAUAUAAUGAAGAUCACGUCUAUCUUCAUGAGCAGGAGAUGUAGUCAUCGCUGGAGGUUUAUUUUCAAACUGAAAGAUUUCUUUUUUGCAGGUAAUUUAUGACAAUGUAAACGGUCACCUAACUUAGCUUUAAACUUUGAAAGAACUGAUAAAAAGAUAUCUGUUAUGAUUUCAUUGCUACUGUAAGAACCAAACUUUUUGAUGUCUUGAGCAAUGCUGUGUCACCACUGAAACUUAUAUAUCUUCUUAUA